AGCAGCCGCGGUAAUUCCAGCUCCAAUAGCGUAUAUUAAAGUUGUUGCAGUUAAAAAGCUCGUAGUUGAAUUUCGGGAUUGACGUGAUGGUCAUGCCUUAAGGGGUAUGAACUGUCACAGUUGAUUUCUCACCUUCUGGAGAAACUUGAUGUCCUUUAUUGGGUGUCUUGCGGAUCCAGGACCUUUACCUUGAAAAAAUUAGAGUGUUUAAAGCAGGCAUUUUUGCUCGAAUACAUUAGCAUGGAAUAAUAGAAUAGGACGGCAUGGUUCUAUUUUGUUGGUUUCUAGGAUCACCGUAAUGAUUAAUAGGGAUAGUUGGGGGCAUUAGUAUUCAAUUGUCAGAGGUGAAAUUCUUGGAUUUAUUGAAGACUAACUACUGCGAAAGCAUUUGCCAAGGAUGUUUUCAUUAAUCAAGAACGAAAGUUAGGGGAUCGAAGACGAUCAGAUACC
rnacentral:rRNA from 1 species